GGUCAAGUGAAUAAGUGCAUCAGGCGGAUGCCUUGGCGAUGAUAGGCGACGAAGGACGUGUAAGCCUGCGAAAAGCGCGGGGGAGCUGGCAAUAAAGCUAUGAUUCCGCGAUGUCCGAAUGGGGAAACCCACUGCAUUCUGUGCAGUAUCCUAAGUUGAAUACAUAGGCUUAGAGAAGCGAACCCGGAGAACUGAACCAUCUAAGUACCCGGAGGAAAAGAAAUCAACCGAGAUUCCGCAAGUAGUGGCGAGCGAACGCGGAGGAGCCUGUACGUAAUAACUGUCGAGAUAGAAGAACAAGCUGGGAAGCUUGACCAUAGCGGGUGACAGUCCCGUAUUCGAAAUCUCAACAGCGGUACUAAGCGUACGAAAAGUAGGGCGGGACACGUGAAAUCCUGUCUGAAUAUGGGGGGACCAUCCUCCAAGGCUAAAUACUCAUCAUCGACCGAUAGUGAACCAGUACCGUGAGGGAAAGGCGAAAAGAACCCCGGGAGGGGAGUGAAACAGAACCUGAAACCUGAUGCAUACAAACAGUGGGAGCGCCCUAGUGGUGUGACUGCGUACCUUUUGUAUAAUGGGUCAACGACUUACAUUCAGUAGCGAGCUUAACCGGAUAGGGGAGGCGUAGGGAAACCGAGUCUUAAUAGGGCGAUGAGUUGCUGGGUGCAGACCCGAAACCGAGUGAUCUAUCCAUGGCCAGGUUGAAGGUGCCGUAACAGGUACUGGAGGACCGAACCCACGCAUGUUGCAAAAUGCGGGGAUGAGCUGUGGGUAGGGGUGAAAGGCUAAACAAACUCGGAGAUAGCUGGUUCUCCCCGAAAACUAUUUAGGUAGUGCCUCGAGCAAGACACUGAUGGGGGUAAAGCACUGUUAUGGCUAGGGGGUUAUUGCAACUUACCAACCCAUGGCAAACUCAGAAUACCAUCAAGUGGUUCCUCGGGAGACAGACAGCGGGUGCUAACGUCCGUUGUCAAGAGGGAAACAACCCAGACCGCCGGCUAAGGUCCCAAAUGAUAGAUUAAGUGGUAAACGAAGUGGGAAGGCACAGACAGCCAGGAUGUUGGCUUAGAAGCAGCCAUCAUUUAAAGAAAGCGUAAUAGCUCACUGGUCGAGUCGUCCUGCGCGGAAGAUGUAACGGGGCUCAAAUCUAUAACCGAAGCUGCGGAUGCCGGUUUACCGGCAUGGUAGGGGAGCGUUCUGUAGGCUGAUGAAGGUGCAUUGUAAAGUGUGCUGGAGGUAUCAGAAGUGCGAAUGUUGACAUGAGUAGCGAUAAAGCGGGUGAAAAGCCCGCUCGCCGAAAGCCCAAGGUUUCCUACGCAACGUUCAUCGGCGUAGGGUGAGUCGGCCCCUAAGGCGAGGCAGAAAUGCGUAGUCGAUGGGAAACAGGUUAAUAUUCCUGUACUUGAUUCAAAUGCGAUGUGGGGACGGAGAAGGUUAGGUUGGCAAGCUGUUGGAAUAGCUUGUUUAAGCCGGUAGGUGGAAGACUUAGGCAAAUCCGGGUUUUCUUAACACCGAGAAGUGAUGACGAGUGUCUACGGACACGAAGCAACCGAUACCACGCUUCCAGGAAAAGCCACUAAGCUUCAGUUUGAAUCGAACCGUACCGCAAACCGACACAGGUGGGCAGGAUGAGAAUUCUAAGGCGCUUGAGAGAACUCGGGAGAAGGAACUCGGCAAAUUGAUACCGUAACUUCGGGAGAAGGUAUGCCCUCUAAGGUUAAGGACUUGCUCCGUAAGCCCCGGAGGGUCGCAGAGAAUAGGUGGCUGCGACUGUUUAUUAAAAACACAGCACUCUGCCAACACGAAAGUGGACGUAUAGGGUGUGACGCCUGCCCGGUGCCGGAAGGUUAAUUGAAGAUGUGCAAGCAUCGGAUCGAAGCCCCGGUAAACGGCGGCCGUAACUAUAACGGUCCUAAGGUAGCGAAAUUCCUUGUCGGGUAAGUUCCGACCCGCACGAAUGGCGUAACGAUGGCCACACUGUCUCCUCCCGAGACUCAGCGAAGUUGAAGUGGUUGUGAAGAUGCAAUCUACCCGCUGCUAGACGGAAAGACCCCGUGAACCUUUACUGUAGCUUUGCAUUGGACUUUGAAGUCACUUGUGUAGGAUAGGUGGGAGGCUUGGAAGCAGAGACGCCAGUCUCUGUGGAGUCGUCCUUGAAAUACCACCCUGGUGUCUUUGAGGUUCUAACCCAGACCCGUCAUCCGGGUCGGGGACCGUGCAUGGUAGGCAGUUUGACUGGGGCGGUCUCCUCCCAAAGCGUAACGGAGGAGUUCGAAGGUUACCUAGGUCCGGUCGGAAAUCGGACUGAUAGUGCAAUGGCAAAAGGUAGCUUAACUGCGAGACCGACAAGUCGGGCAGGUGCGAAAGCAGGACAUAGUGAUCCGGUGGUUCUGUAUGGAAGGGCCAUCGCUCAACGGAUAAAAGGUACUCCGGGGAUAACAGGCUGAUUCCGCCCAAGAGUUCAUAUCGACGGCGGAGUUUGGCACCUCGAUGUCGGCUCAUCACAUCCUGGGGCUGUAGUCGGUCCCAAGGGUAUGGCUGUUCGCCAUUUAAAGUGGUACGUGAGCUGGGUUUAAAACGUCGUGAGACAGUUUGGUCCCUAUCUGCAGUGGGCGUUGGAAGUUUGACGGGGGCUGCUCCUAGUACGAGAGGACCGGAGUGGACGAACCUCUGGUGUACCGGUUGUAACGCCAGUUGCAUAGCCGGGUAGCUAAGUUCGGAAGAGAUAAGCGCUGAAAGCAUCUAAGCGCGAAACUCGCCUGAAGAUGAGACUUCCCUUGCGGUUUAACCGCACUAAAGGGUCGUUCGAGACCAGGACGUUGAUAGGUGGGGUGUGGAAGCGCGGUAACGCGUGAAGCUAACCCAUACUAAUUGCCCGUGAGGCUUGACUCU
rnacentral:rRNA from 1 species